GUAAGGGGCGAGCGUUGUCCGGAAUUACUGGGGCGUAUAGAGCACGUAGGCGGCUGAGUAAGCGAUAGGUGAAAUCCCAUGGCUCAACCAUGGGAAUGGCUUGUCGAACUGCUCAGCUCGAGCACGGGAGAGGGUAGUGGAAUUCCUGGUGUAGCGGUGGAAUGCGUAUAUAUCAGGAGGAACACCGGUGGCGAAGGCUGCUACCUGGAACGUUGCUGACGCUGAGGUGCGAAAGCUAGGGGAGCAAACAGGAUUAGAUACCCUGGUAGUCCUAGCUGUAAAUGAUGGACACUAGGUGUUGGGGGUUCGACCCCCCUCAGUGCUGUUAAGCUAACGCGUUAAGUGUCCCGCCUGGGGAGUACGGUCGCAAAGGCUG
rnacentral:rRNA from 1 species